rnacentral:rRNA from 1 species
UACGUAGGGGGCGAGCGUUGUCCGGAUUUAUUGGGCGUAAAGAGCGUGUAGGCGGUUUGGUAAGUCCGUUGUGAAAACUCGAGGCUCAACCUCGAGACGCCGAUGGAAACCAUCUGACUAGAGUCCGGAAGAGGAGAGUGGAAUUCCUGGUGUAGCGGUGAAAUGCGCAGAUAUCAGGAAGAACACCCGUGGCUAAGGCGGCUCUCUAGUACGGUACUGACGCUGAGACGCGAAAGCGUGGGGAGCGAACAGG